UACGGGGGGGGCAAGCGUUGUUCGGAAUUACUGGGCGUAAAGGGCUCGUAGGCGGCCAACUAAGUCAGACGUGAAAUCCCUCGGCUUAACCGGGGAACUGCGUCUGAUACUGGAUGGCUUGAGUUUGGGAGAGGGAUGCGGAAUUCCAGGUGUAGCGGUGAAAUGCGUAGAGAUCAGGAAGAACAUCGGUGGCGAAGGCGCUCUGCUGGACCAUAACUGACACUCAGGGACGAAAGCUAGGGGAGCAAACAGG
rnacentral:rRNA from 1 species